rnacentral:rRNA from 1 species
CAGUCGCCGCGGGAAUACGAAGGGUGCAAGCGUUACUCGGAAUUACUGGGCGUAAAGCGUGUGUAGGUGGUUGUUUAAGUCUGUCGUGAAAGCCCAGGGCUCAACCUGGGAAUUGCGAUGGAUACUGGGCGACUAGAGUGCGGUAGAGGAUAGUGGAAUUUCCGGUGUAGCAGUGAAAUGCGUAGAGAUCGGAAGGAACAUCUGUGGCGAAGGCGACUAUCUGGGCCAACACUGACACUGAGACACGAAAGCGUGGGGAGCAAACAGGAUUAGAUACCCCUGUAGUCCCUGUCUCUUAUAC